GAUGAAGAACGCAGCGAAAUGCGAUAAGUAAUGCGAAUUGCAGAAUUUCCGUGAAUCAUCGAAUCUUUGAACGCACAUUGCGCCCGCCAGUAUUCUGGCGAGCAUGCCUGUUCGAGCGUCAUUUCAACCAUCAAGCCCCAGGCUUGUGUUGGAGCCCUGCGGCUGCCGCAGCCUCCCAAAACCAGUGGCGGGCUCGCUAUCACACCGAGUGCAGUAGUUUACUCUUCGCUCAGGGCGUGUGGCGGGUGCUAGCCGUGAAACCCCCAACUUCUCAAGGUUGACCUCGGAUCAGGUAGGAAUACCCGCUGAACUUAAGCAUAUCAAUAAGCGGAGGA
rnacentral:misc_RNA from 1 species